CAAUUAUGGAUUCGAUGUGAUAAGAACCAGCUGAUUUUUCUCCUCCAAUUUCCUGAACAAUUUUCCAGCAAAUUAAAGAAUUUCCAAUCAGUUUCCUCGUGAAUAAAAUCCACGAAUAAUUUGUAAAGUUUCUUUGUGAUUUUCUACGUAAAAAAUGACAUCAAACAUAGCAAGCGUUUGCAUUGCAAUCAUCGGGAAGGAUAACUCCCCGCUGUACAUCGCAACGACGGAUCUUGAUCGUGAACUUGAGCUCCACUACAGUGUGCACGCAUCAUUGGAUAUAAUUGAGGAGAAAUGUAUGCCAUCGUCCGGAAAGCAAUCAGUGGAUUCCAGGGAUUUAUAUUUGGGCAUGCUGUACUCCACGGAGACGGAUAAAAUCUAUGGCUAUGUGACGAAUACAAAAACAAAAUUCAUCAUUGUGAUUGAUUCCAGUAAUUCUGCCCUGAGGGAGAAUGAAGUGAGAUCAAUGUUCCGGAAUCUUCAUAUUCUCUACACGGAUGCUGUUUGUAAUCCUUUCUACACCCCAGAGGAGCCCCUGACGUCGAAAGUCUUUGACAGGAGUGUCCGGAAUAUUAUGGCGGGGAAUGUGUGAGCUUUAAGGGAGGGGAAGGUACUUCUCUCUUAGCUCCAAUUACUCACUACUACUCCCCAAGAGAUCUCCACAAUAUUUUGUCACAUCAAACAAAUUCACUUUCUCAUCAAAUCAACCGAUAAAUUGCACAAAAAAGUAUGAUUAAUCAAUUUUGAGGGCUACACCGCAUCAGAGAAAUCUCUCGCGCUGCCAUGGAGAAGGCAUAUAAAGAGACACCACAAGCUCCCCAAAUGCUCCAUAUUUUAAUCAAAGUUCAGUGCAGUUACUUACCUGGAAGGUAGAGAUGUUCAUUCGCUUCUUCGUGUGGAUCCUCCUCGUGGGAUUCUCAAUCAUCACCAUGGCAUCUCCGGUGGUACAUGAGGAUCCAGCGCGCCUCUCACGCGUCCAGAUUCGUGUCUAUCGUGGCCCAGAAGACAUCCAUACGCAUUUUGCCCCAUGGGGAUACUUUAUCCAGCAACCACCUGACCAGGAGAAGUAACCUGGAUGACUUCCUCCUGGACUUCCUGAUGGCUUUUCCACAGCUUUUUUUUAACUUUCUUCGGCGGCUUUUGUGGUUCCUCUCUCUCUCUUGAUUAAAAUUAAAUCAUAUUUUCACAUUAA